rnacentral:tRNA from 1 species
UAAAUAAGAAACAAUUAAUUGUAUUUAGUUUCGACCUAAAAUUUUGAUGUU